CCUACGGGAGGCUGCAGUGAGGAAUAUUGGUCAAUGGGCGCGAGACUGAACCAGCCAAGUCGCGUGAGGGAAGACGGCCCUAUGGAUUGUAAACCUCUUUUGUGGGGGAGCAAAAGACGCCACGCGUGGCGUUCCGAGAGUACCCGAAGAAAAAGCAUCGGCUAAUUCCGUGCCAGCAGCCGCGGUAAUACGGAGGAUCCGAGCGUUAUCCGGAUUUAUUGGGUUUAAAGGGAGCGUAGGCGGAAGAUUAAGUGAGCGGUAAAAUUGAGGGGCUCAACCUCUUCGAGCCGUGGAAACUGGUUUUCUUGAGUGAGCGAGAAGUAUGCGGAAUGCGUGGUGUAGCGGUGAAAUGCAUAGAUAUCACGCAGAACUCCGAUUGCGAAGGCAGCAUACCGGCGCUCAACUGACGCUCAUGCACGAAAGUGUGGGUAUCGAACAGGAUUAGAUACCCGAGUAGUC
rnacentral:rRNA from 1 species